CAAGCCUUGAAGGUAUUUACUCCGUCCAUGGAAUAAUUUUUUUUUGAGGAAGAGGGAAAACAUGAGCACUGAGCUCAGUUCACAUCAAUUCCCAUGAGCUCAGAACAGUAUAGCAGCCAAGUUAGCAGAAGAGGAAACGGCUCCUUUAAGUAUUCUGGGAAAUGUAGUUCAGACGCUCCUGGACACGCAUGUACUUCCGCUCCGACAGGCGGGUCCUGGGAAUUCUGGGAAAUGUAGUCCACACGAUCUGUGGCCUGCGGGUGUCUCUGCCUACAAGGGCGAAUGCCGUGAAUUCCGGGAAGUGUUUUCGGGAAGCAGGCUUUUCUCCCUGCCUGAGUGGAGGCAGAGGUAGUCGACUUCUUGACAGCUGGCAGCAAAGCUCCUGGCACAGUUCUGCUCUCCUGAUAUCGACGUGCCUUAGGACUCUGCCUAUUCCAUGAGGAGGAGGGAAAAUGACCACAUUCAAUGUGAGUAAGGCUUGUUUUUCUCACUGUAAAACUUCCAUCCUGCAACUCAUAUU
rnacentral:lncRNA from 1 species